rnacentral:rRNA from 5 species
GGCGUCCGAGUUGUAAUUUGUAGAGGAUGCUAUUGAGUUGUCACCGGUCUAAGUUCCUUGGAACAGGACGUCAUAGAGGGUGAGAAUCCCGUAUGUGACCGGCCAGACGCUCUCUGUAUAGCUCCUUCGACGAGUCGGGUUGUUUGGGAAUGCAGCCCUAAAUGGGAGGUAAAUUUCUUCUAAAGCUAAAUACCGGCCAGAGACCGAUAGCGCACAAGUAGAGUGAUCGAAAGAUGAAAAGCACUUUGGAAAGAGAGUUAAAAAGCACGUGAAAUUGUUGAAAGGGAAGCGCUUGCAAUCAGUCUCGACGGCGGCUGUUCGGCCUCUCUUCUGAGUGGUUUAUUCAGUCGCCGCCGGGCCAGCAUCAGUUCUGGCGGUCGGAUAAAGACGCGGGGAAUGUAGCUCCCCUCGGGGAGUGUUAUAGCCUCGCGUGCAAUACGGCCUGCCGGGACUGAGGUCCGCGCUUCGGCUAGGAUGCUGGCGAAAUGGUUGUAAGCGGCCCGUCUUGAAACACGGACCAAGGAGUCUAACAUCUAUGCGAGUGUUUGGGUGUCAAACCCGUACGCGUAAUGAAAGUGAACGGAGGUGGGAACCGCAAGGUGCACCAUCGACCGAUCCUGAUGUCUUCGGAUGGAUUUGAGUAAGAGCAUAGCUGUUGGGACCCGAAAGAUGGUGAACUAUGCCUGAAUAGGGUGAAGCCAGAGGAAACUCUGGUGGAGGCUCGCAGCGGUUCUGACG